rnacentral:rRNA from 1 species
GUGAGGAAUAUUGGACAAUGGAUGGAAAUCUGAUCCAGCCAUGCCGCGUGCAGGAAGACGGCCCUAUGGGUUGUAAACUGCUUUUAUACGGGAGCAAUAAGGUCUAUGCAUAGAUUGAUGAGAGUACCGUAUGAAUAAGCAUCGGCUAACUCCGUGCCAGCAGCCGCGGUAAUACGGAGGAUGCGAGCGUUAUCCGGAUUUAUUGGGUUUAAAGGGUGCGUAGGCGGCUUUGUAAGUCAGCGGUGAAAUUUUGCAGCUUAACUGUAAAAGCGCCGUUGAUACUGUGAAGCUAAGAUGUGGUUGCUGUGGGCGGAAUGUGUGGUGUAGCGGUGAAAUGCAUAGAGAUCACACAGAAUAUCGAUUGCGAAGGCAGCUCACAAAGCCAAUAUUGACGCUGAGGCACGAAAGUGUGGGGAUCAAACAGGAUUAGAAACCCCUGUAGUCC